AUUGAACGCUGGCGGCAGGCCUAACACAUGCAAGUCGAGCGGGUACUUCGGUCCUAGCGGCGAACGGGUUAGGAAUGCUUGUGAAUCUGCCCAGUAGCGGGGGAUAACGUUUCGAAAGGAACGUUAAUACCGCAUACGCCCUACGGGGGAAAGGGGGGGAUCUUCGGACCUCUCACUAUCGGAUGAGCCCAAGUCGGAUUAGCUAGUUGGGGGGGUAAAGACCUACCAAGGCGACGAUCCGUAGCUGGUCUGAGAGGAUGCUCAGCCACACUGGAACUGAGACACGGUCCAGACUCCUACGGGAGGCAGCAGUGGGGAAUAUUGGACAAUGGGCGAAAGCCUGAUCCAGCCAUGCCGCGUGUGUGAAGAAGGCCUUCGGGUUGUAAAGCACUUUAAGCGAGGAGGAAUGGCUCUUGGUUAAUAACCUUGAGCAGUGACGUUACUCGCAGAAUAAGCACCGGCUAACUCUGUGCCAGCAGCCGCGGUAAUAC
rnacentral:rRNA from 1 species